rnacentral:lncRNA from 1 species
CUGUCAGUAAUACACAAAAACUAGUUGGCACCCAUGAAAUAAAUGCUGUUUGAUGUAAAUUGCUUCAGAGCGAGACUUGGAAAAUGUUUAUUCAAGGCCUGACAACAAUCUGUUUGGAUACACUGCAGCUAAGGAAUGUGUCACCUAUAAUGCUGCUGAGCAGAGGUUCCAGUUAAAUCAUUUUAAUGGUAAUACAAGCCAUGCUAGCAAAGAAUCCCUUGCAGAGAGUGCAAGCUGUGCCUUUCUGAGUUUAAGAAAUGUUGAUUUACGGCUUUUGUUGUUGGUUUAUUCGGCUUUUGGUUUUUUGAGACAUACAACUUUGCCAUCAUGCCCUUACCUACACACAGCACAUGACCACUUUGCCUACUAAUUACAUUUUAAAGUGCUUUCAGCAUUAAAAGAAAAUCGCUGUACAAUACUACAUUUUCUGUUUGCUGACCUUAGAAUCUUCUAGAUUGACAAAGACCUUCAAGACAAACAAGUCCAGCUAUCAGCCUGACCUACGACAUCCCAUCAUUAUACCAUGCCACCUUGUAGGAGACCAGGACUGGGAAAAAAAUCUCUAUUAAACAGAGAGAAAUUCUGCCACCUGAAUGUUGCACAAGGAACAUCACAGAACAACUCCUUCAAACCUCCCAGCAGGAACGAUGGAGCCAAAUGCUGGAUUUCCUCACGCACCUCCCCAGACCAAGAAGAAAGGGAUUAAGAGGAAAUGCAGCUGGCUGAAGGCCACCAAGAAUCCCCCCAAAUCCUAACACAACAUCCGGGAUGAGGGCACUUGGUCCUACCCACCUCCUGGAGGGCUGAGAAAGAAGUUCAUUUGUAGCUUAGCUCCUUUACUUACUGAUCCCAAAGAAACUCAAUGAUUCCAUGUGUUAGGAAUCAAGUCUACUAAAGGAACAAGGAGCAUAGCCAAAAUGACCAAUUCCGCAGACCUCUUCCUUCCUCCUUCCAAAGAAGCAAAACAAAACAAAUCAAAAAUAACGUUGUGGAAUUAAUUCUUUAAAAUAAAAUAAUAAUUAUAAAUAUAUAUAUAUAUAUA